rnacentral:tRNA from 1 species
GCGGGAGUGGCGGAAUUGGUAGACGCGCAGGACUUAGGAUCCUGUGCCGUGAGGCGUGUGGGUUCGAGUCCCACCUCUCGCA